GGUUGAACCUCCCUGUACACGGGACCAGCUUCAGGAAACGCAACAACAGCCUGGGCCUUCUGAAGUACAGAGAACAGGACUUCCUGUCAUCUGAUCUCGAUCUCCAUUGACCGAGAAAAAAAUGGACAAUGAAGCAUGUGCUUUGUUCCGCCUUCCAAAAACAAAAAUGUUGGGCAUGACAGAAAAUGGUUGUACCAGCCAUUUCAAUUCUGACCUGAUCCUGUAGUGUGAAGGACAAACCAGUGGGGCAUGUUAGUGAAGGUGAUCAACCCUAGAGUGAGGGCUCUGGUUCAGCAGUGAAGAAUGUGCGUAGAGCAGUGGUCUCCAACCCUGGUCCUGGAGAGCUACAGGGUCUGCUGGUUUUUGUUUUCACCUUAAAAUCAGCACCCAGUUGAGACCCAAGA